GGCAUUAUGUGACACAGCUUUUUCAGCCAGCAAGUCCUCCAUGGAUUUAAAUUACCAAGCACCAAACCAGAUACACAAUAAAGGUCUCCUGUUUAACAGGAUAACAGAUGUCACUAACAGAAAGCCUUGGAAUUAGUGAGCUACGGCACAUCUCAGAUCUGCAUUACUGCCUGUGCACCACUGCUGCUGUCAUGCAACUUCCACACAAACACAACAGCACUGGGUCUGUAGAAAGCCAGCACUGCUAAAACUGCUCGUGUUGCUUGGCCUGCACUUGUAAGAGCAUCUGUGAACGUAGGCACAACAGCCUUCCCCAAGCCUGACCUGCAGAAACCCCACGUUAGCCUCCAAGCACGGCCUGCACAUUGAUGGACACUGAUGGACACAGCGCUGCCAGGCCCGUGAUGGUGACAGAGCUGCCACAGAUCCGCGUGUCACCCACAGGACCUCCCCAGCCACUGCUCUGAACCCCUGGAACCAAGGUGACCAAGCCAGGAGUGUCAGCAAAGCCCUGUCCCACUUCAGCCAAGUGAAAUAAGUUCUCAUUGUGCAAGCACAGGCAGCUCCUGUGUCCUGCAAAGCCACGGGAACGGAGCAGGCCUCGUGGUAACCUGGCCCUGCAGCUCUCACCUCAGGGAGGGCUCCACACCCUAAAGCAAACAAGGGCUGAGUCGCACAGAGAACCUCUUACAGCACCAGAACUGUCCUCUACAGACAAUGCACAGUCUUCUGAGAGGUUACACCAAAAGCUUAUUUUCAUCUAACUUCAGGUGACACUCCAGCUCUCGCCACAAAGCCAUCACAAAUUGGACUGCUUCAAUUUCAAGGUCGGUGGCAAUCCUUCAGCUUACCCAAAACACCCCAGAACAAGCUCCUGAAUGAAUACAAAUUAGGUGUUAGAAGGAUGACACAGUUAAAUGAUGGAGUUUGUAAAACCCCAGCAGAUGAUGUUUUUCUCCGCAAAUCAGCAAUUCUGGUAAUGAGCACAGGAGGCUCAGCCCAGAUGCACACAACCAGGAGCUGCUGAACUGGGACCGGCAGUGGGGAGUUGAAACAGAAGAGGAAAACCUGCCUACCUCAGUCAAUCUGGCCUAAAUGGAAGUAGUUUAUUGCUCAAUAAUUACAAGUUGGGAAGAGGGAUCAACCAACCAGCCUGAUCCCUGGUGCUGACAGAAGUACAAGGAUUAAACUGUAAUAUUUGGUCUUUCUAGUAGCAGAAAUACAAAUCCAUUUUCAUGGGCUUUAUCAGACACCACAUGUCUCCUUGGACUUCUCCUAGGAAAGGCCACUAAUUAGUGGCCAAAUUCUGUUAGUGUGCCUCCUAACAGCUUGGGAAGGACCACAGUGGAAUCUGAGCCAACAGUUCCCAUUUUGGUAUUGCACAUUGAAGGAGGCAGGAAGAGAAUUUGGGUUCAGAGACCGAGCUAAUUAAUUUGUUGUUAUUUUUGGAAGCCAUGAACAGAAUUAGAAAUUAAUUCUUUAUUAAAUGAGAAUGCCCUUCCUAUCUAGGAAGUGUUUGAUUCAAUGGACAAGACUGUCUAAAAAAAAAAAAACAAAACCAACAAAACCCCAAAGCACUUCUUUUACCAGAAGAGUGAAUAGUGAAAUAGUUGUACAGCUCACAGAAGCACCAGCAGGAGAGACACAGUCCCCAGAUGAUUCCUGUAGCCAUGAUUUAUGGAGAUCAGUGGGAAAGGGAUGAGGGGGGAAAAAGCAACAUGGAUUCAAGCCCAAACUAUUUGUAUGCCCAGACCAGAAUCCUGGCUGGAAAGCAGAACAACUGUGCACAAAUUGAGGGGUUUUUUUUGUCUUUCUUUCAGGAAACAGCUCCAAGGCCACAGUUACUUUCCUGCUCUAGCCUGGUAAAGAAGCUGAGAUACUUUUUUUGUCUUUUGUUGAAUUCUCUUCUGAGCAGGCUUGUGACUGCUAGGCUCUCACUUUCUUGGCUUUGGGAAGCUAAAUCUAGACAGUUUUGUUGAUAAGGGAUGGCAGAAAGUAAGCAACAUGACAGGAGGAGGAGGACAUUUCCUAAGUGAGAGCCAUCCCUUGGGCACAGUUGGAGCCUGAGUUUAGGGAGCUGGCUCCAGCAAGCCAAGUUCUGAGUGGGAAGGAGAGUGGAGCACAUCUCUCCAGCCAGCUGGUUCACAGCUGUCCCUUCUGCACUGCUGAAAGGACAAGGACUCUGUGUCACCCUGUGCCACCCUGGCUGAGGACAGUCACCUCUGAGCUUCACACAAAGCAAAGAAAAAGGUAUUUAAUCAUAAAAUGACAAUCCACCCUGGCCUGCUUACCAAGAGUCUUCCUGCUCUGUGAAGCAUUAAUAACCUAUUUUUAGCUACUUUCAACAGCACCACACCUCUAUGAUAAUAUAUUUAAUUCCUUACAAAAAUAAACUCAGCCUCCAGAGAAGAUAACUUUGUAGCUCACCAGCAGACACAGGGUUUUGACAGCUGACUGGUCAUAAACAACCAAAGGUUCAAACAAAAGAUAAAAUACUUGAGUGAGCCACCAUUUCUGCCAAGAUUUCAAUGAAAAGUGAGGAACAGCAAAGAGAGAGGAUAAAAUACUGUAGUCUAUGUAGUCUAGAAGCAAAAGAAGUCUGCAGACAACAGUGGCCUGAAAAGAAGGGGAAACUAGCAGGAUAUGUCACUAGGCAUAAUUAACAGCUAGGCAAGAAACAGCCAGAUUUCAGAGGAAAUCCUCCUUCUGUGGAGGUUUAAAGGUGACAAUAAAGCUUAAACUGUCAAAAGCAUUUGAUUAGUAUGUUACAGAUGGAAUUUAAAACUGGCAGGUUAAUAAUGAAGAACUCCCCACGGUACCCAACUCCUAUUAAUGCUUCUCCUCCUUUACCUGGACCAAUCAACCUAAAUUCAUAGUUUCCCACCACCUGACAAAAUACAGCUGUUGAUAAACAAACAGCUUUUCCUAAAAACAAAUUUAAUAUUCAUGCCAUUCUAUUACGAUGCAAGCACUUUGACAACAUUUUCUAGCUGUAGAUCAGUACCUCCACUGCAAAAUUUAAUUGUGCACUGUUCCCUGAAAACUGCUUAAAAGUAUGUUUUAGAAACUGUUCACAGAAGGUAAUAAACCAUACUUAAAGUCACAUAAAACUUAUAAUCAUUGUUCCAGCCAUUUUAAUACUGAAAAACAACUGUGCAGAAGUUGAACAGCCUUUGCUAACACUACAUAUGCCCUUUCAGUUCCUAAUUAGCUGAUAAUACUCUGGGUGCCUGUAAUGCACAAUUCAAAUGCCUUGCUUACCAAAGUGUUUAGCAUUCCACAAAUAAGUCUUCAUACCAAUUAAAUCCCUUGUUAUUAUUAAAAUGCUUCCAUACUGUUGUAAUAACACAGGAUAACACAGGCAAUGCUGCUCUAAUCGUGCGGCUAUUCUUUGAAUAAUUGCGGGAUUUAUGAAUAAUCAUUGCUAAGGAUAUGCUACUAUUCAGUACAGAGUAUACAAUACCUAAUAAUACCUUUCAAAUAGAUUUGAUUUAUGUUACAGUAUCUUUUAAGUGUGGCAUGUACACUAAAAAAAUCUUCCUGGGCCACUGAGAAGCAGCAUUUUAUAGGGCAGUAAUUUACUGUAGCAAUCCCAUAGUAAUUUACAAGCACAGUAAUUUAAAAGCCUAUGCAGACCACAAAAAAUCUAUUUUUCUUCUCAAGAUCUGAAAAUAUUGCUAAAUAUCAGGUUCUAUCCAAGAGAAGAUUAUUAUUUUUCAUUUUCUCUAGAAAAGGCAAAUUAAGAGAGAUUAUUUUCUCACAGGAAACUUUCAGGGCAAACUCAGGAAUGAGUCCAGACUCCCUAUCAAAUAAAUCAGCAAGUCAAGAACCUGCAUUAUCUCCACAGAAAUAUUUAACAGCAGUGGCCUAUAGUUUAAUCUAGUUCUAAUCUUUUCUGCUGAAACUAUGUACAGUAGGAGAAAUACUUCAUUCAUCAUCAGAGUAAACAAAUCCAUUACUUAUGCAAUAACACAUAAACCCAUCUCAUUACUUGAGGAAUUUAUCUUACUCUUAAGCUGAGCAAAAGUCUAGGGAGCUGCAAAGCAAGGAGCUCCUACUAUCAAAAAGAUUAACAUUUAGAAACUGGCAGGAAUGCUUAAGAAAUCAGUAAGAUUUUCAACAACAACUUGACAUGAUCAUAUACUAAAUUCAUCCAAAGAACAAAAUUAAAAACCAGCCACUACUAAAAAACUUCAACAUAGAACAGGAACAGAAACAUUUUAGAGAAUUAUUUAAUUAUUAACUUACAUAUAUGGAGAUAUUUAAAAUUAUUUUCACACACAGGACUAGUCAAAACUGCAGAAGUCAGUAUAGCAAGGGAGAAAUACAGAGAUCAGAUCACUUCUUCCAGGCUGAAUUAGCCUCCAAAUUCCUUCACCUUUAACUAAUAUAAUGUCCCUCCUACCCAAAUCCAUCCAGCCUUUUACUUUUCCCUCCUGGGAACAGCUGAGACAAGCACCAAGGAGAUCUCCACAUGCUCAACUUCCUCCCCAAGGAGGAUUGGCAAAGCUUCCAACAUGGGACACAAGCUGCGCUUCAGUAAGGCAGGGAGAAUUUCAUCAUGGGAUACACAAGGGAAAAACCAAGGACCAGCUGCUGGAAUCAUACCUUGAAGAGACAGAUACACAGACAUCCCCCCUUUCAGACAUCUCUGGAGCAUUAACUCAGUUUCACCAGCAAGAACUACACUUGCAUUCUCAUCAGCUUGGGAAGUUCCAGGUUUCCUGCAUUGCUUUAAGAAUACCAUAUCCAUAACUGCUUGGAAAAGAAUUGUUUUUUAGAUUGCAUAUCUGUGGUGUUCAUUUAUAGUACAAAUGGGAAAUGUGAGGAUUCUGCUAAGCAGCAAAAUAUCUGGCAAAAAAAAAAAAAAAGAAAAAGAAAAAAUGGACACAGAUAACUACAUUAGAAAAAUAUUCUUUGUAAAAAUUAUUCUCCAAGAUAUCAAUAUUUAUACAUUACAUACAAAAAUAUAAUAAAUACAAACAGAGAAACAAAGUGAAAAAUCACAACAAGCUGCUACAGAUAAACAAAUCUGUUUAUUUUUUCCUUCAGAAGACAUUGGUUACUCAGGCGAAACACUUUAUUAGCAAAUCACGCCAAAAAGAGAAGCCUAAAUAUUCCAGAGAUUAAUAACAGCUAAACUGUUGCUUCUGGUCUCCUGCCCAGUGAAUGCUUUUCUAAAGGAACAACAAUAUUUCUAUGCCAACCAUCACUACACGGCAUUGGACUCCACUUCUUCCUUUUUAAAAAGCAAAUUACCCCACACUAUAAAAGAGACAUUUACUGAUUUUAUUAAGUCUCAAUCAGAUGGACAAAGCUCACCCAAAAGCCAUUAAAAUCACCAAGUGAAGCCAGGCAAUUCCACCUCAAAAACAGCAUUCUGCAGCACCAUAAAGGAAUUUAUUAUAGACAAGAAAAAGGAAUCUUGGCACACAGAUACAGCUCUAGACAAUUAAAAUAGUAAGAUAAGAACAGAUGUGAAAAGCUCUUCAGAAAGAUAGCUGUUCUCAACGAGUCUUUAAUGGAAAAUCAAAUUCUUAUUUAGCGCACCCAGAACACAUCACUAAAUACAUUGUACAUGAAUUGACACUGUGCCUCAGGGGCAGCAGGUUACUGCUAAAUAACAACAGGAUUUCCACCCAGGGCAAGGGCCUCAAAUUGCACAUUAAGUAUCAGGGCACAGAGACUUCAUUCAAACUGGGGCCUCAACAGGGGGAAGAAAGAAAAUCCUCAUCUUCCUAGAAUGUUGAAAUUGCAUUGUUUGAAAACUGACUUUGUUCAGAACCUUUUCUGAAAUUUUCUCACAUACAGAUGUGCCAUGCACUCUACAAGCAACUUGUAGCACUUCAUAAUUUUUUUGCAGCAUUUUUACAAAAUUAUAGCAUCCCAAACAUUUUGGGGUUUUUUUCUGCACACAUAUAAAAUUGCGGGGGGAAAAUUAUUUACAUAAAUUAUACAAGCACUUUGUAUACAUGGAAACUUUUUUUUUUUUUUUAGCAAAGAACGUAUCUGCAAACAACAGAUUCCAAACCAUUUCUUUACAUCCAGGUAGCCAGGGAACCAUGUAAGGUUUUCUUUCUUUUCUAUUGUUUUACUACAUAGAUUCUUUAAUAUGUGAGGCAAGCAAGCACAAUUUCAUUAAACUAGUGAAGAGAAAGGCAGAAGCACCACAUUGGUACAGUUAGAAGGCUCAGAUUACUAAUUUAUGACAGCCAAUCUAAUCUUUUAGUGGCAAAGUAAGUACAGAAGAUUUUAUGUCUGAACUUCUUCCUGAUGCUUCAUUAAUCUACUUGCUCACGUAUAUCUAAAUUGUGCUGUCAGCAUGUGCCACGUCCCCAGGCAGAUGAAUAUGGGAGCAGCCCUACCUCUGCAUCCACAGAAAAAAUUCCACAGUGCUUGAGAGUGAUCAGUUGCAGUGAAAACCUUCCUCAUUAGCCAUUUCUACUGAGCAGACACCACUUUGCCUCAUCACCAGCACCUCUGCCUGUCCACACCUUUGACUUCCCAUCUUGGAGUUAAAAGAUAAACAACCUUUCUCUGCCUUCCAAGCUGUCACUCUGAAAGCCACCCAUGGGCAAAAGCACAGCUACAGCAGGAAGUCGUUAAAUAAAUUAGGUGCAUGCCUCAACCCAUCGUUUGAAUUAAUGUAUACAAACCAUGGGCAGCAAAUAAUACAAUAAACUGUUUAAGCACCCUUAUCUUAAUUUACAUUUACUUGUCUAGUAAUUUAAAUUACUUUUUUUUUUUUUUUUGCAGCACCUGGCAGUAAUCAUUAACAUUAUAUUUAAUUUGUAUAUGCAUUACAGCAUCAUCCAGAAACACAAAGUGCAGCAGCAGUAUGCCAAACAACACCUUAAAAAAUUUCAACCUAAUUUAACUGCACUGAUUUUUUGGAUGAAGUGUAGAUCUCUGUUAGGAAUCCACGUGCAAUUCACUUCAACCAACAACUUCACACAAGAGGAAAUUAUUAGAUAAAGGUAAAAUAUACAAAGAGUAACAAAGAGUCUGAGAACACAGAAAAUACUCCGUUGGGUUUUGCUUUUAUCAAUGCAGUUGAUAGCAAUUAAACCUCAGAAGCUGCAUGCCUAAACAACAUAGUGCAAUUUAUUUUGAUUACAGAGUUUGUUUUUCUCAUGUGUAACCUGCCAGUUAACAGGCAAACCCACAAAACAAUACAUCCCCUUGGUAACAAACUGAGCCCAGCUCAAGAUCUGAAAAGCACUUCAUCUCCUCCUGUCCCUUGGCCAGGGAUGGCAGCUGAAGGGGCCCUGGGUGCCACCACCCAAGAGCGUCCUCUGGAGAGAGGUGACGGGCUCUGUGGCGAUGAGGGGGACAGCCAGGCCUUCCCAGAUGGAAUUAUCAGACACCUCUCUCACAGCCAGACCCACAAAUAUGCACCAGAGGAUUUUGUCGUGGUUCCACUGCCCUCAUUCCAGUGUGGUUUGGCACAUCCCACACCCCAGCCACUCCAAGGCUUAUCCAAAGGACAAUUCCCACUCUGGCUUUUUCCCAUGGAUCUCUGGCAUUUGUUGGCUGUUUGUGCUCCUGUGCAGUGAGUGAUGGCUGAUGAAAAUCUCCCUAACUGUACGACGUGCAACUGGUUGGAAGGAACCUGUUAUUGAUGGCACAAUACAUUAUAAUGGAAUUUUAUAUAGAUCUUAUGGAUUUCGUCCCCCUUCACCUACGAGCAUUAUUUCAGAGAGAGGUUUAAGCAAGAGUCAGCCUGGCUUUUGUUUUUAUCUCUUGACUAUGACGAUAUAAUUAAGCUGUGAAUGAUGUAUCAAAAUGCCAUACACAAAGAUGAAUUGACAGGAGUAAUUUUUACUGCUCAGAAGCCUUUGGUUUCAUAUAUCAUAAUAUCCUGUAAAGCAAGCCCAUGACAUCUGCUUGACUGUAAAAGCAAUAGCUUGGUACAAACCUCAAUUCAUCCUUCAAACAGGCAUUUGUGCUCCCUGCUUAUUACCACCACUACCUGCAUUACUGCAGUUGGAACCUGCAUCAUUCAUUAUUUCACUUCUUUAUUAACUCUUACCACAGACAGAGAGAAGAAUGUGCCAUAUUCCUCUAUGGCAGUGUUUUAUAUAAAUGCUCAACAGAUGUUUUGCUACUGGUGGAGUUGGCAGGACUGGGUUAAUGGUUUGUUUCAAUGAUCAUACAGGUUUUUAGUUAAAUGAUUCUAUAUCUGGCUGGGAUCCAGACAGGUCUCCUCUCUCUUUUUUUCUAUUUUUUAAAUUAAUUUCUUUAGUAAACAAAAAGGAAGGAAAGAUUUGUAUUCAAGCUCUCCCUGCUUCUUAUUUCACUUCUUCUUGAGCUGGAGAGGAUCUUAGUUUUGUACCUACAAGAAUGAGAACCUCAUUUACAGCUAGGAUCCUAAGGCACUGCUGUAAUGCAAUUAUUAUUAUCAUCACCAUCACUAUCAGUCCAAUCAAUCUGACUGUGUGCUUCUAAUGAGUUCGUGUCUUAGGGCAGUUAAUGUUCACGCUAUUUUUUUGGUGGGUUUUUGUUGUUAAAUAACCAUUCUUUGCAGCAAAUAAAUUGAAAGCUUGAUAAAAAAAAAAAAAAUUAGCAUUUAGACAGCAACUAUGAAAAAUCUGAUUAUAGCAAAACAUUAUCAAGAGCAGAUUAACCCAGCUCAUUUGGGGGGUGAAUUAUAUUUUCUGGGUUAAGAGAUAUGACUUGGCCAAGAGCCAAUUUCCUUAUAUGUUUGCUUCUUCUGUAGAAGAAUAAAAUAAUUUCCUUGCAAUAAAUAAAUUAUACAGGAAAGAUUAAAUACUCUCCUACAGAGGCCGUGUGUAGAAGGAAUGCUUGCUAUUUAAAUGGCUGUUUUGGCAAAACAGAAAUUAGGAAGAUUUGUUUCUUGCACAUUCCUGCGAAAUUCAUUCCAGUACCUCGCCCCACCUUCCUCUGAGAACACCAGGGACAAUCCUUUAUUGGCCAUCAGAUGCCAGAGAACUUCCAGCUUGAAAGAAGAACCCAAACUUAAUUUGUUCUUGUCUGAUAAAAUACUCUGCUACAAAAGUCCCAGUUGUGAAUAAUCACCAUUCAACCACAUGAAUCAGCCCUCUGUGUAUGGAUUUACAGGGAUAGACUCAUUGUCAGCUGCAUGUUUGCAAGCUUUGCAUUGAAGCCACCAUUUCCAAGGCAAGAUUAUAAAGAAAAGUGAAGGUGAAAACUUUUUCAUUAUCUUAGAAGACAGCCUAUUACCUAUAUCACUUUCUCAGAUAUCCAUCCAUCCACACCUAAUGAGUCCUAUGAUUUAGUCAGAACACAUCCAUAAAGAUGAUUCAUGGCUGCUAUGCAGCCACUUGAUGUUAAUAGCAAAGCUGAUGUCUUAAAUCACAGCUGUUUCCCUAUGAUAGCCAAGGGGCAAGGCAAUACUUUGGAAAACACAGGGAAGAAUUUAUUAGAGCAACUCUACAAAAGCAACGUUUAAAAGAAAAAUGUAAAGCAAAACAUCAGGGGCAAAAGUAUUCUAACCAAAGCACUAAAUAGUAUCAGAUGCUGUACAGUAAUCUGCAUAUGUUAAUAUUGCUAAAAGAUUACUAUGUCUAGGCUAAAAACUUCUGCAUUUAAUUUUAUCUGAAAUCAUUUCUUGUUGCUCCACUACCACAGUGACAUGUAAAGCCUUAAUAAUAUGAGCAAGUAAAGUGUCAUUCUUUCCUGUGUUAGUAAGCAUUUCACCACAACUGAGAAGAGUAAAUUUCAACAGAACUAGGUCUGAUUAAUUUAAAUUAAAGCCUGAUUAAAGUUAAAGAGAUUUGCUGAUGUUUAAUUAUAUUGAUUAAGGAACAGAUAACACAGUAUGUUAAGAGUACCACUACUAAGCCAGAAAGAAGCACCAAAUGACUCAGUGUCUCCAGGAAAAUGACUUACAUUCCUCAUUUUUAGCUGGUUACCAAGUUCUGCAGGAUCACAGAGCAGAAAGGGUUUUACAGGGCUGAGUCCUCUCUACAUACACCCCAGUCACAGGCAAUUUGACUCAGAAAUUUUAAUUUAUGUAAACUGCAGACUCUGGAGCAUUAAAGAAUAUUAUAAUAUAGCCAGGAAGGAAGGAACACAUGAGUAAAUUUGGCAUCACACAAAAGAUGACAAUUAGGCACAAGAUACCCAUCAGCUCUUGGAAAUCUCUUAGCAGAUUCAUAGAUAAAGAGAUGUUGCAGCAUCAAGCUCUGUUGAGAAAUUGGUGCAUUUUUAACUAGAACAAACAAUCCUUGACAUUUCACUUGCAUUCAGCAGGGAUCCAGUUGCCUUACUCAUCGCUAUUAAAAACACCUAAAAGAAUCCAGCAGGAUUUCUGAGAAAGAGGUGAAUGGGCUGUGAUUGUGCAAAGCACUGUCUUGUUCCUGCCUCCAUUCUUCUGGCCAGUAAUUUCAACAACAGAAAUACUCAAGUUCCCAUUAACAACCAAAUGGUAUUUUGAACAAGGAAUAAAAUGACUGCCAAAAACUGGGAGAAAAAAAUACAGAGACAAGAACAUGAUGUGCAUACACCCAAGCAAAGUGGAAUAAUUGCAUAGAUUAAGUAGGUCAACUACAGGUAUAGAUUUCUUUUAAGAUGAUCCAAAAAGGUAUGAGAAAUUGCAUGUGAAGGCACGCUCCAAGAGAAUUCCCUUCCCACAUGCAAACAGGCUUGUCUUACUCAAAUCAAGGGAGGCAAAACUGAAACCACCUACCCUAAGGAGCUCCCACUGCAAAGCAGGUCCUAUUUCUCAACUUGCUCGCUGGAAAGUAGCUGUGGAAUAACCGGAGAGACGGCCGAGCACAUGUCCCACAACUACUUCUUCAUGAUCUUUUUGUCAGGUGAUUUGUAACCAGGAGCCUGGAUUGGAUAGGAAAUUACCUUCUUCACAACUGCUGCCUGGUGCUUUGCAUUGUGAGGAGCUGCUGUUCAAAAUACAGGAAUACAGCAACUGGUGCUUUCCUCACGGGGAGCUCUGAAGUCUUCCGUGACUAUUUAGAUUUGCAAUGUGAUUUUCAAUACAAAGCUAAGCCGGUGUAUCCAAAACAAAAAGGUGAAAGAAGGUCAAGAACUGCCCUGUUAAAAACAAGCCUUCCAUUUCAGGAGGAAAGAGGAGAUACUUUCAAAAGGAAAAAAAAAUCUCUGGGGAAGAAAAUGCUGGUAACUCUUGGGAACCUGUGCGUCAGUUUGGUUAGUGGGUUUUGGUGGAGGACGUAAGAAAACACAUGAACAAACAUGCAGAUUUCCUCCUGUUGCUAAAUGCCCAUGAAGAUUUUUAAUUUAUAGAUGUUUUCAGCUACCAGGAGUCUUUUAACCCUCUCAUUAUUUUAUUCCUAGUUUUUAAAAAGUAAUUUUAAAACAGAGAAGAUGGAAUGGAGUCAAUGAGGCUCAAGCAGGCCAUUAGGAGAACCUCUCAUUUCUGGAAAUGUUGAAACAUUAGGUUUAUAAUGAGAAACUGAUGCCAAUCCUAAAUAAAUCUGAGGUUUUCCCCUUAACUACAUACAUGGCACAAAAAGGAGGUGCUUCAGCACACAAGGUCAAUAAAGCCCUGGCAAUCUGCAUUUCCCAGGCACAGGAGCACUCACAGAUCCCCUGACCGAUGGCAGAACCCCAGGGAGGGCUCAGCACCAGUGGAACAUUUUGUUACAAGCCAGCCCAGAGUGGGAAAACACAGACUCCUGAAGGCGCCUGCCUCGGGAAAGGAAUGAGAAAUUCAGAGCUGGGGAAAACCUCUCCCCUCCACACUCCACUCCAUCACUCACAACUCCUCUCUGAAGUGAAGCAGCCCAGAGUCAGAGGCAGUAGAAGGAACACUCCCUCCUCCCUACCUGAGAGCAGCAGCAAGGAGACAUCGGGAUUCCACGGGAUUCCUCGUUUGAAACCCCUGCAUGGCAACGCUCACACACAAACUGCUGCCACCACACGGGGUGGGAGUCUCCUGACACGCCAAACCCUGCUGGCAAUCCUGGCUCAGAGCCUCCAGGUGAAUGAAGAACACGAUCCCACUGAUAAGAAUAUGUAUUAAACACAAAGGCACAACUUCCCAUGGCUGCUAAGUUCCCUACUCCCAUCUCCACCCGAAUACCAAAAUCUGUGGAUACUCAGUAACUGUAAAUAUGGUUUAGAGAUCAUUACACACAUUCUUACCAGCGUGAAUGGCAGCAUUAUUAUUGCAGGAGGAAAAAAGAGACUGAAACAAAACAAAGCAAACUACUGAAGAACACCCUGUCAUUGUAAAUUAAUGGAGUUUUGGGAACAUCCAGGAAAGUUCCUGAAGUUUCUUCCUCCUCUUUAUAAUGUCAUGCUUCUAAUUUACUUCAUUUAUAUUAAUAAACACUGGAUUACACAACUAUUAAUCUAGCUGGGAACUGCACUAAAGCUCACUAAAUCUGUCUCUAAUUAUUAUGAUUAAUGGUGCAAAAUGAUCAGCUUCUCAAAUUAACAACUUAAAGCAACUGGUAUAGGAAAAAGGGUAUUUUUCUUAGUAAACAGGUUCUUUAGUCUUUCUAGUUAAUGACAUCUUGAGCAGUCCAUUCAGUAGUACUACAUUCUAAUUCACCAUUACUACCUAUUUACAUAGAUUUGCAUUGAUUAUGCUGCCAUUAUGUAUUUAUUUAAGAUUAAUUAUUAAAUUGCACUAAAACUCUGUCUCAUUCUUAGUAUAACACAGCAGAAUUAGAUCUUCAAGAGCCAACUGCCUUGGCCUUAUUCUUUUUAUCUCUGUAUCCAGAGAUUGUACUAGAUUUUUUUUUAUUACGACUCUUACUAUUCACCAAUACUAAUUUUCAAAGGACAAGUUCUCCAUUUAAUAACUAAGCUUUGCAAAAUAGUGUCUGACACUUCAAUUAAUUAAGAAAUUUUUUAAAAAUAACACUAUAGGAAUUACCGUUAUUGCUGCAUUCCUCCAUUACUUCUGUGAUUAUUGCUCCAAAGUCUGUUAUUUUACAGUGUUUUUUAAAGAACAUUAAAGUAAUCACAUCAUUCAACCUAAGUUAAUUAAGAGAAGGAGACUGUAAGGAGAGUCUUAUCAAACCCAAAAGGAAGGAUCAAGUAUUUUCAGUUCUGAGAUUUGGGUUCCUACUCUGGCAGUUCUACCCAACCAUCACUGAAGACAGCUGAGCCAAAGUCAACUCACAAAUACAAUUAGAGAAAAGACACUGAAAAUAAGAAAAUAAUGGUAAGCUCAUCCUUUACCACCCUCAAACUAAAAAAAGCUUCUCCCACCCCUCAAAGCAUCCAGUAAGGACCAUGUCUACCACACUGAUUUCCAAAUGGGAAGACAAUAAGCCCCCCAAGCACCAAGACAGUGUGAGGACUAAGAGGGAAAGAAAGCCCUUCAGUAACAUUCAAAUGAAUGGCAGCUUCCUUUGCCAUUUCAGACACACUGAAACUGUGUCUUCUUUCCUAAACAAGGACUGAUAGCUCUUGCUCAGUGUAUUUUCACCAGCAGUCUUUUUUUCUCCAACAUCUCUCAUCACUAAGGUUUUUAUUUUUUUUUCCCUGUGAACUAAAAACAUGAACAGCCCUGCAUGGAAAAUUAGGCCCUGCAGAACAUAAUGAGAAACUUUCCCACAGCUGCAGGGAGCCUAAGGGAUUUUUCAUUAAGAAUUAGACUUCAAACUAUACAGAUAUGGUCAAUGCAAUGGGGAUGAAAUGUGUGUCUCAAGAGUGGCAAAGAGAACUGAUGUUUCUACUUUGUCCUUCCUCAUCACAAUCCAUUCUGAGCACAACUGGAAUAUUAUUUAACAAUGUGCUUCUGUUGCAAAGAACCAGCACUAUGUCCAUGAUUUUUAUUUCUCCUGCUCUUGUCUUAUGGCAUUAUAAUGUGCAAUAUCAUUGUGCCAGUUGGUCUUCCACUACAGGUCUCUCAUGUCCACUGGGAAUUUUUUGUGGGCUAUGGCACAUGGGAAAACUUGCAGUAUUUAUUCAGUAGAUCCUCCUGAACCAGACAGUGACUGCAUCCCUCCAUAGCAUUGUCCCAAGGCAGAUGACACAUAUUUCACAGUCCCCCCGUUUCCCUAUUUGUAGUAAAUUUAUAUCAAUUCAGAGGAGCCUUGCUCUGACGCAGGAUUGAGAAGAAAAUAUAGAAAUGCUACUUUAAAAUAAGGAUUGAGGAGCUAGCAGAACCUACAACACUUGGUGAAGAACUUGCUCCCACUUGAAGAUUCCUCUUAAAAUUUUCAAAUUACAUGCCCAAUUUAAACAAGUUUGUGUUCAUUGCUCCUGUCAUCAUCCCAGUUAAUAACAUUCAUUCUUUAGCACACGUGAGCAACCAAGGCAGCAAAGAUUAAAAGGGAAAGUCAAUAGCUAAAACAACUGGUUUGGCAGCUGCAUGGAAGGAAAAGGAGCGGUUCAACCACAAAAUUCUCACAUGUGAGUCUGGGAAUGACCUGCAGAGGACACACCACUGGCUGCUGUGUGGGAAACCUCAGUACAAGACUGUUUCAACAUGAGAGGUACAUUUGAAUGCUCUUCAAAGCAAUUGUGAAAGCCAUGCAAAACCCACUCAGCUCUGCUUGGAAGGUUAUUGGGAAAUGGCAAAUUACUCAUCGCUGCAUGGUUUUCCUUCUGUUUCUCUUCUCAAAAGGCCAGAGCUUAUAACUAACCUGAAAAAUCUCAAAAAUACUUCUGAUACCUGCAAACCUCACCAAAUGCACCCUCGACACUACUACACUGUGAUCACCCCUCUGUGAAAUGAAAUGUGAAGACAGAAAGUGAACAAAAACUCCUUUAAGCGAAGGAAUUGCACCAUAUCCAUAACCAGAAGAUAAAACUGCAAUUGAAAGUAAUGGGAUAUUGUUCUCUGCAGGUUCCUGAGUUGCAGAGAUCCAUUCUACUGAAUAUGGUUCUAACCCUUUUCCUCUGGGGAAAAAGAAAACACUGAUUCUUUAAAAAAAUGCAAGACAUUUCUCAGAAAUGCAUUCUAAAAAACUUGCUGAGAGCUUUCACAUUCUGGAGAAGCUGCUGAAGGUUCCCAUUUGAGCACUGCAGCGCUCGAGAUGUUGCAGAGUGAAAAAAAACCAAAAUCCUUACUUUUCUAAGCUUAAAGGUUGUCUCUUAUCAUGUGUGAAUAAAUGCAAGGGUCAAGGAUACAGACAGAACAGGAUCAUAGAACUGUUUGGGAUGGAAGGAACCCUUAGAAGUCCAGUCCAGAGCCCCCAUAAUCAGCCCACAAAGUGCAUUUUGGUUAAGCUCUCCGAAGGAGAGUUGGAACUGCAAGCAACUAAAUUCUAGUUACAUUCUCCAAAAAGCAGAAGACAUACUAUAGAUUAUUUGUGACAAGAUACAUCACAGGAUAUUAAUUUAAAAAAAAAAAAAGGCAAAAACCAUUAAUCCCUCUAGAAAACACUCAAAUUCAGGACACAAUUUUGUUCAAAACAGAUGAAAACACUUUCUUGGCCUUUGUUACCUUGGCAUUUUCUGAAAAAUUCAAAUGAAAUAAAAACUUCUAAAUGAAUUAACAGGCAAAGUUACAUGAAGCUCUGAGCAAGACAAGAAAAGCCGGCAACUGCAUUAUACAAUGUUACAAUUAAUCAUUAGAAAGAGCAACAUUUAAUAUCUUUCCUUUGAAGUGCAGUGGUAUGGGAAAAUCCCAGUGAUGGAAAGCCUGGGGUAAUUGCAGCAAGCAGGUGGUUCAGCACGAGGAGCUGGAAUCAGGAAGACCUUUGUAUUUUCAUUAUUAUUUUUUUGUAAGAGAUCAGAAGACAAUGUCUUGAGUUAACAGGAUGGAACUUCAAAGUGCAGGCAUUUCCUUUAGCCGUACAGCUGCUAAAAUUUAGAAACUAAUACCAAUCCUUAUGAAAUUUUAAUUUUACUUCUGUGAUGAAAGACAAAAAGUAUAAUUUAUCAUACAAAAGAUGCACUUUCACACUGUGCUGUGGUCUUUUUGUUUUAUCCAGGCACCCUUCAGGUAGGGAGCAUUGCAAUUCAGUCACCUGCUGUAGCAAUACCUGGUGAAAGACAAUUGCCAGAAGUGAUGCUGCUGGGAUUUUGGUCAAAAAUUCAACUAGAGGUUGAGCAGGUGCUUCUUUUAAUGCCUGUCCUCUGGGGUGCAGUGACCCAGCAGCACAGUUUCAUGUGUGUAACAGCAAAAACCUCCAAAAGGAUGAAGCAAAAAUGCCACACACAACCCACAUCAAAGGGUCAAGAAAUGGAUUUCAAACAGCUAAUUGCUAUCUGGAUAAAAUUUGUCCUUUAAAAAAUUUUAAAAUUUUUAAAAUUGGAAGGGUAGAGCACUAAGUCUUGCUGGUGAUGCUCACCAAACCAAAAAACACAGUAUUUUCUCUGGGCAGAGGGAGACUCAUUUUGUUUGGACUGCUGUUGAUAACAACCAGAAAAAUGCUGUCAACCCACCAAAAGUUAAGCUCCAGCUGGACAAUACUAUAUAUACAAUUCCUGAUGGCUCAGUAAACUACAAGUGCUGUGGCCUUCACAUGAGUAAGUCUGCAGCAGGACUGAAAUGCAGUUGUAGAUGAUUCCCAGUGUGAAAUUCAAGAGAAAUACCAGGACACUUGCAGGGACAAAAGGUGACAGGGAAUCUUUAAAAAUAAAUCCAGAUUUAAUCCAAAGACCAACACAGCUCAAAUCCACGCAAAACAAUGCCAACCAUAAAUUUUACAAUACAAAAAAGCACAAUGCAAAUGAGAGAGGAGAACAGAAACCUGAAGCACUUCUCUGGUGCAUGAUGUACAGAGAGCAUUUGCAGCACUUCAGGAUACCUCUGCAAGGGGAUUAGGAAUUACUGUUUCAUCAAGUUCCCUACUACUUCCUCUACCAACCUCUUUUGCUUCUUUAUGUUGUCCCUGUAGCCAUCUAUCCUCACACAGCUAACACACACAGAGGCACAAAAGCCCUACAGCAGGCCAGGAUGCUUUUUUCCUCACGUUGUGUAUGAAAGCAGCCUUUUAUUCACACUGGCAUUAAAAAGCAAUCCAGCAUUUAGUUACUCUCUUCCCAGUCCUUUUGUCAUUAUAACUUCAGACAUGCUGGCUGAUGCUAUCAGUUAAAGACCCCGUUCCCCAGGUUGUCUGUGUGCAGUUUAUAAAUCUGCUUUGGAUUAUAUCGAUUUACUAAUUGACCAAAGCACUGGAUUAUACACUCUGCUGGACACUUUACACAUUAAAUAAAGUAAUUGAUAAAGACAGCAUGCUCUUUGGGCUGAUUUUUUCUAGGAUUUGAUCUUUUCUAGGAAUGUACAUUUCAAGUCAGUCCUUGAUAGCACAAAAAAAUCACAGAAAAUAAAAGAAACUGGGGA